GGUAUGUAAACUUCUAUCAGCAGGGAAGAAAAUGACGGUACCUGACUAAGAAGCCCCGGCUAACUACGUGCCAGCAGCCGCGGUAAUACGUAGGGGGCAAGCGUUAUCCGGAUUUACUGGGUGUAAAGGGAGCGUAGACGGAUGGACAAGUCUGAUGUGAAAGGCUGGGGCUCAACCCCGGGACUGCAUUGGAAACUGCCCGUCUUGAGUGCCGGAGAGGUAAGCGGAAUUCCUAGUGUAGCGGUGAAAUGCGUAGAUAUUAGGAGGAACACCAGUGGCGAAGGCGGCUUACUGGACGGUAACUGACGUUGAGGCUCGAAAGCGUGGGGAGCAAACAGGAUUAGAUACCCUGGUAGUCCACGCGGUAAACGAUGAAUGCUAGGUGUCGGUGACGAAGUCAUUCGGUGCCGCCGCACACGCAUUAAGCAUUCCACCUGGGGAGUA
rnacentral:rRNA from 1 species